AGAGUUUGAUCCUGGCUCAGGACGAACGCUGGCGGCGCGCCUAACACAUGCAAGUCGAACGAGCGAGAGAGAGCUUGCUUUCUCGAGCGAGUGGCGAACGGGUGAGUAACGCGUGAGGAACCUGCCUCAAAGAGGGGGACAACAGUUGGAAACGACUGCUAAUACCGCAUAAGCCCACGGGUCGGCAUCGACCAGAGGGAAAAGGAGCAAUCCGCUUUGAGAUGGCCUCGCGUCCGAUUAGCUAGUUGGUGAGGUAACGGCCCACCAAGGCGACGAUCGGUAGCCGGACUGAGAGGUUGAACGGCCACAUUGGGACUGAGACACGGCCCAGACUCCUACGGGAGGCAGCAGUGGGGAAUAUUGCACAAUGGGGGAAACCCUGAUGCAGCGACGCCGCGUGGAGGAAGAAGGUCUUCGGAUUGUAAACUCCUGUUGUUGAGGAAGAUAAUGACGGUACUCAACAAGGAAGUGACGGCUAACUACGUGCCAGCAGCCGCGGUAAAACGUAGGUCACAAGCGUUGUCCGGAAUUACUGGGUGUAAAGGGAGCGCAGGCGGGAAGACAAGUUGGAAGUGAAAUCCAUGGGCUCAACCCAUGAACUGCUUUCAAAACUGUUUUUCUUGAGUAGUGCAGAGGUAGGCGGAAUUCCCGGUGUAGCGGUGGAAUGCGUAGAUAUCGGGAGGAACACCAGUGGCGAAGGCGGCCUACUGGGCACCAACUGACGCUGAGGCUCGAAAGUGUGGGUAGCAAACAGGAUUAGAUACCCUGGUAGUCCACACCGUAAACGAUGAUUACUAGGUGUUGGAGGAUUGACCCCUUCAGUGCCGCAGUUAACACAAUAAGUAAUCCACCUGGGGAGUACGACCGCAAGGUUGAAACUCAAAGGAAUUGACGGGGGCCCGCACAAGCAGUGGAGUAUGU
rnacentral:rRNA from 1 species